ensembl:snRNA U2 U2 spliceosomal RNA
AUCGCUUCUCGGCCUUUUGGUUAAGAUCAAAUGUAGUCCCUGUUCUUUUCAGUUUAAUAUCUGAUACGUCCUCUAGCUGAGGACAGUACAUUAAAUGGAUUUUUGGAGCAGGGAGUUGGACUAGGCACUUGCUCCGUCCGCUGCACGCAUCAACCUGGUAUUGCAAUACUUCCGGGAACGGUGCACCCCUC